GAGGAGACAGAUAUCCAGCCUUUUCUUACCCCUAACUACGGAUCUGAAGAAAGGCAUGAGGGCAGAUAAGGGGUGUUGACAGAGAGCAUGGCCCCGAUGGCAAAUUGCCCAUCAGGUCGUCCUGGCUAUUUUGCUGGACCAUCCCUGUAAGGCUGCUCUGCCCUUCUCCUCUCUGCCUCCAGCAGUGCUAUUAAGGGAAGGAGGGAGCUGUGAAUUCCCGCAGUCUCUGGCUUUCCUCCUUUGGCCUCUUAUUUUCAUGGUGCUGCGGAAGCUCCUCGUGCUGGCGCUGCCGCUGACCCCGUUGGUGCAGAUCACAUGGGCAGCAUUCCCAGGGAGCCUGGGUCACUCGGUAAGAAAAAUCAGCUUGGGAAAAUCACUCCUCUUUUCUUCAUGCACCCGUACUCCUCCUCCCCCCCCAUCCUCCCU